AUGGACAAGAUUCUAGGGGUGCUUCAGGGUUUUAGAGACGCCACCGGUUUGCAGCUCAACCCCGCAAAAUCCUCGGUAGCUCCCAUCUGAUGCGACGGUACUGAUCUGCUACAAGUCCUGAAUUAUGGAGGAUGGAUUGUCAGCUUCCCCAUUACAUACCUUGGCAUCCCAAUCACGCUUGGCAAGAUCAGGCUAGUGCACCACCAAUUCAUCCUAGAUAGAAUCGGAGCUAGACUAGCAGGCUGGAAGGGCCACUUGCUGCCUAUCGCGGGCCGCGAGUGCUUGUCAGGAGCGUGCUCUCAGCGCUCCCUGCGUUUGCGCUUGCCAUGCUACGCGCCCUGCAAAAAUUCUUCAAGGACAUAG
rnacentral:rRNA from 1 species